CCUACGGGGGGCAGCAGUGGGGAAUAUUGCACAAUGGGGGGAACCCUGAUGCAGCGACGCCGCGUGGGUGAAGAAGCGCCUCGGCGCGUAAAGCCCUGUCAGCAGGGAAGAAAAUGACGGUACCUGAAGAAGAAACACCGGCUAACUACGUGCCAGCAGCCGCGGUAUUACGUAGGGGGCACGCGUUAUCCGGAUGUACUGGGUGUAAAGGGGGCGCAGACGGCGAUGCAAGCAAGGAGUGAAAGCCCGGGGCCCAACCCCGGGACUGCUCUUGGAACUGGGUGGCUUGAGUGCAGGAGGGGAAGGCGGAAUUCCUGGUGUAGCGGUGAAAUGCGUAGAUAUCAGGAGGAACACCGGUGGCGAAGGCGGCCUGCUGGACUGCAACUGACGUUGAGGCCCGAAAGCGUGGGGAGCAAACAGGAUUAGAUACCCCUGUAGUC
rnacentral:rRNA from 1 species